GAAGGAGGCUCGGCCGAGAAGAGGUUCCAUUUCUACAAGGAUGGAGUGGAGAUCACCUCCAGUGAAGAAGGUCUUCUGGAACCUUCCAGUGAGUCCACAAACCCUCUUCAAAAUGCCUAUCUGAGAAUUCCUCAUGCCUCGUUCAACCACAGUGGGGAAUUUGCCUGCAGUUAUGAAGAGAAGAGAAGCAACCGAUGGGUCACGUCUUCUUGGAGCCGGGGGAAGAAGGUCACAGUUGAGCCAGUUGGUACCCAAGAUUCAGAUCUUGUAUGGAGAUAUUCCUGGAUGGCGAUUCCUCUCAUAAUCCUGCUGGUUCCAUUUGCCUUUUAUUGCUGGAGGAAGAAGAGCACACCAGUAUCCCAGGAACGAUUUCAGCUCAGGGAAAAGAAAGAGGAAAGAAAUGAUCUUGCAGUGAUGGAGCCUCAAGCAGCAACAGCAGCGACUUCCUC